UCUCUACCUAUCGUGUCCUGACUUGGACGCGAAAAUGGUGUUUGAUGGCAGAAAAUUAUGAGAAAAUCAACUGCCCAAACAACCCUAAUAAGGAUUAAGGGAUGAUUGAUUGGAAUUAUUAAAGUAAUACAUUCAGGAGAAUAAGGAAUAUAGUCUGAACGGAAAUAGUAAAAGAGAGCUGGAUUAUGUAAUGAAAAAAAACAAGCUGACUUUCAAGUAGGUUAAGCUUAUGUUGAUGCAACAUAUGAAUUGUAUUGGUCCCAAUUUUGCUGGAUUUAGAGCUUGACGGAUAUCAAUACAUGUGUCAUGAACAUCAAUAUCAGUUUCAAGAGCGACUCCAAUAUCUGAAGGCAGCAGUUCUUGGACCAAGAAAAAGUUAGCAUCUGCCUGCGUCAAGUCAAUAGCCACAUCUGAAACAUUCUGCUUUUUACAAAAAAAAGUGCAACAGAGUUUAUGAAAUUUGAGUGGUGUAUUAUAGAAGUGUGACUAAGUGUACCUCAUGCACAACCAGAGCUUGUGGUACAAAAUUUGUUUGAAGCUCAUUUCUCGCU